AAUAGAUACCCAGGUAGUCCACGCCGUAAACGAUGAGUGCUAAGUGUUAGGGGGUUUCCGCCCCUUAGUGCUGCAGCUAACGCAUUAAGCACUCCGCCUGGGGAGUACGGUCGCAAGACUGAAACUCAAAGGAAUUGACGAGGGCCCGCACAAGCGGUGGAGCAUGUGGUUUAAUUCGAAGCAACGCGAAGAACCUUACCAGGUCUUGACAUCCCAUUGACCACUAUGGAGACAUAGUUUUCCCUUCGGGGACAACGGUGACAGGUGGUGCAUGGUUGUCGUCAGCUCGUGUCGUGAGAUGUUGGGUUAAGUCCCGCAACGAGCGCAACCCUUGUUCUUAGUUGCCAUCAUUUAGUUGGGCACUCUAAGGAGACUGCCGGUGACAAACCGGAGGAAGGUGGGGAUGACGUCAAAUCAUCAUGCCCCUUGUGACCUGGGCUACACACGUGCUACAAUGGACGGUACAAACGGUUGCCAACCCGCGAGGGGGAGCUAAUCCGAUAAAACCGUUCUCAGUUCGGAUUGUAGGCUGCAACUCGCCUAC
rnacentral:rRNA from 1 species